GACGAACGCUGGCGGCGUGCUUAACACAUGCAAGUCGAACGGAAAGGCCCUGCUUUUGUGGGGUGCUCGAGUGGCGAACGGGUGAGUAACACGUGAGUAACCUGCCCUUGACUUUGGGAUAACUUCUGGAAACUGGGGCUCAUACCGGAUAGGAGCUCCUGCUGCAUGGUGGGGGUUGGAAAGUUUCGGCGGUUGGGGAUGGACUCGCUGCUUCUCAGCUUGUUGGUGGGGUAGUGGCUUACCAAGGCUUUGACGGGUAGCCGGCCUGAGAGGGUGACCGGCCACAUUGGGACUGAGAUACGGCCCAGACUCGUACGGGAGGCAGCAGUGGGGAAUAUGGCACAAUGGGCGGAAGCCUGAUGCAGCAGCGCCGCGUGCGGGAUGACGGCCUUCGGGUUGUAAACCGCUUUCGCCUGUGACGAAGCGUGAGUGACGGUAAUGGGUAAAGAAGCACCGGCUAACUACGUG
rnacentral:rRNA from 1 species